rnacentral:rRNA from 1 species
CUUCGGGGAUGGAUUAGUGGCGAACGGGUGAGGAACACGUGAAGAAUCUGCCCUCCACUUUGGGAUAACUCCGGGAAACCGGGGCUAAUACCGAAUAUUGAAACAUAAGCGGCAUCGCUGAGUUUUGAAAGAAUUUCGGUGGAGGAUGACUUCGCGGCCUAUCAGCUUGUUGGUGAGGUAAUGGCUCACCAAGGCAACGACGGGUAGCCGGCCUGAGAGGGCGACCGGCCACACUGGGAMUGAGACACGGCCCAGACUCCUACGGGAGGCAGCAGUGGGGAAUAUUGGGCAAUGGACGCAAGUYUGACCCAGSGACGCCGCGUGCGGGAUGAAGGCCUUCGGGUUGUAAACCGCUUUCAGCAGGGAAGAAGCGAAAGUGACGGUACCUGCAAAAGAAGCMCCGGUACGUGUCUGUG